CGCCUUUCAUUUCCGACCUCAGAUCGGACGAGAUUACCCGCUGAAUUUAAGCAUAUCACUAAGCGGAGGAAAAGAAACU
rnacentral:rRNA from 2 species